AGAGAAGGAAUUUGACCGGUUAAUUGAUUCGAAGACAGCGAAAGUUUUGUGAGGUGGGUUAGAUUUCCUAGAGAAGGAAUUUGACCAGUUAUCUGAUUCGAAGACAACAAAAGUUUUGUGAGGUGGGUGAGAUUUCCUAAAGAAUGAAUUGGACCAGUUAACUUAUUUGAAAAUAGAGAAAGUUUUGUGAGGUGGGUGAGAUUUCCUAGAGAAGAAAUUGGACCGGUUAACUGAUUCGAAGACAGAGAAAGUUUCGUGAGGUGGGUGAGAUUUUCUAGAGAAGGAAUUGGACCGGUUAACUGAUUUGAAGACAGAGAAAGUAUUGUGAGGUGGAUGAAAUUUCCUAGAGAAGGAAUUGGACCAGUUAACUGAUUUGAAGAUAGAAAUAGUUUUGUGAGGUGGGUAAGAUUUCCUAGAAAAGGAAUUGGACCUGUUAACUGAUUCGAAGACAUAGAAAGUACUGUGAGGUGGAUGAGAUUUCGUAGAGAAGGAAUUUGACCGGUUAACUGAUUCGAAGAUAGAGAAAGUUUCGUGAGGUGGGUGAGAUUUCUUAGAGAAGGAAUUGGACCGGUUAACUGAUUUGAAGACAGAGAAAGUUUUGUGAGGUGAGUGAGAUUUUCUAGAGAAGGAAUUGGACCGGUUAACUGAUUUGAAGACAGAGAAAGGACUGUGAGGUGGAUGAGAUUUCCCAGAGAAGGAAUUGGACUAGUUAACUGAUUCGAAGAUAGAAAUAGUUUUGUGAGGUGGGUGAGAUUUCCUAGAGAAGGAAUUGGACC
rnacentral:lncRNA from 1 species